rnacentral:misc_RNA from 1 species
GAUGAAGAACGUAGCGAAAUGCGAUACGUAAUGUGAAUUGCAGAAUUCAGUGAAUCAUCGAGUCUUUGAACGCACAUUGCGCCCCCUGGUAUUCCGGGGGGCAUGCCUGUCCGAGCGUCAUUGCUGCCCUCAAGCCCGGCUUGUGUGUUGGGUCUCGUCCCCCUUCCCGGGGGGACGGGCCCGAAAGGCAGCGGCGGCACCGCGUCCGGUCCUCGAGCGUAUGGGGCUUUGUCACCCGCUCUGUAGGCCCGGCCGGCGCUUGCCGAUCAACCAAAACUUUUUUCCAGGUUGACCUCGGAUCAGGUAGGGAUACCCGCUGAACUUAAGCAUAUCAAUAAGCUGAGGA